UGCAAGUCGAGGGGCAGCGGGGAUAGCAAUAUCUGCCGGCGACCGGCAAACGGGUGCGGAACACGUACGCAACCUUCCCAAAACAGGUGAAUAGCCCUCCGAAAGGAGGAUUAAUACACCGUAAGAUAUGGAUGUGGCAUCACAUUGAUAUUAUAGGUAGCGAUACCGGUUUUGGAUGGGCGUGCGCCUGAUUAGGUAGUUGGUGCGGGUAACGGCCCACCAAGCCUCCGAUCAGUAACUGGUGUGAGAGCACGACCAGUCACACGGGCACUGAGACACGGGCCCGGCUCCUACGGGAGGCAGCAGUAAGGAAUAUUGGUCAAUGGACGAGAGUCUGAACCAGCCAUGCCGCGUGAAGGAUGAAGGCCCUCUGGGUUGUAAACUUCUUUUAUCUGGGACGAAAAAAGGGGAAUCUUCCUCACUUGACGGUACCAGAGGAAUAAGCACCGGCUAACUCCGUGCCAGCAGCCGCGGUAAUACGGAGGGUGCAAGCGUUAUCCGGAUUUACUGGGUUUAAAGGGUGCGUAGGUGGGCAGGAAAGUCAGUGGUGAAAUCUCCGGGCUUAACCCGGAAACUGCCAUUGAUACUAUUUGUCUUGAAUACUUUGGAGGUAAGCGGAAUAUGUCAUGUAGCGGUGAAAUGCUUAGAUAUGACAUAGAACACCAAUUGCGAAGGCAGCUUACUACGCAGUAAUUGACACUGAGGCACGAAAGCGUGGGGAUCAAACAGGAUUAGAUACCCUGGUAGUCCACGCCCUAAACGAUGGAUACUCGACAUUAGCGAUACACAGUUAGUGUCUGAGCGAAAGCAUUAAGUAUCCCACCUGGGAAGUACGAUCGCAAGA
rnacentral:rRNA from 1 species